AUUGAGGUAGCCGAGUUGGUCCAAGGCGCGCGACUUUAAUCCGAGAGGGUGUGGGUUCUAAUCCCACUCUCCGCA
rnacentral:tRNA from 1 species